UAAUAGCGUAUAUUAAAGUUGUUGCAGUUAAAAAGCUCGUAGUUGAAUGUUGGUGUCGAACGAGCGGUCAGCUUCGGCUGUACUGCUCUCUCGACUCCUUCCUUCUGUGGACUACGUCGCACUUUACUGUGUGGCGCUAGGACGCAGAUCGUUUACUGUGAAAAAAUUAGAGUGUUCAAAGCAGGCCGUACGCUUGAAUACAUUAGCAUGGAAUAAUGGAAUAGGACGUCGGGCCUAUUUUGUUGGUUCUAGGACCGUCGUAAUGAUUAAUAGGGACAGUUGGGGCCGUUUAUAUUCCGUAGUCAGAGGUGAAAUUCUUGGAUUUACGGAAGAUAAACUACUGCGAAAGCAUUCGGCAAGGAUGUUUUCGUUAA
rnacentral:rRNA from 1 species